rnacentral:snoRNA from 1 species
CUUGCCCCUAGAGGUAUUGCGGGUGUGGCUGCUGUGUCACAUGUGAGUCAGGAGGUGGCAGAGAGGGGAGAGGCUGUGAGUGUUCUGACUUACAAACAUCUAAAUAAUUAGCAACCUAACAUU